CCACAAUGCUGUGUUAAUCAGUUCCUUUCCACAGCAAAAACACAGCCUGACUGAAAACCCAUUGAAGUCAAUGGGACUGAAAGUUCCUCCCAGUGCUUCCAAGAAUGUGUGGCAUCUCCUCUCUCUGACCAUCUCCAGCUAACUUCACACAUAACCAUGCUGAUUAUGCUUGUUUCUUCUUUAUUAUUAUUCUUAUUGUGCUGCAAUUUAAAGUGUGUAUUUAUGCUGGGCUGAACUCCCUCACCAUUUGGUGGGGGAACAUCAUGGUCUUGUUUAACCCCAAAUAUGUUUUGGAGUUUAGUUGCGACCUCCAACCUAAGUACUCACAGGCCUAUAGUUAAGUGGGUGACAGGGGCACUUCUAAACAGUAUUUCAGAGUUUAAAAUCUCUUGUUGAGGAUUCACUCUGAGUCCAGAGACAGCACAAUAAGCCUAAAAAGUUGGUCCUAUGCUUGGUUUAAGCUAGCCUGCAAGGCUAGGAAAAGUCCUAGCAUCGUCUGGACAGUGUUUUGUCCCUCUUUCUGUGCACUAGCACUGACAUUUGUGCUUCUGUAAAGCAGGUCGGUAGAGAAAGAUGAAAAACUAAGUGUUUUAUGGCAGGAAAUAUCCAUGUGAGAAGUGAUUAGCUUUCCUCAGAGUUGUGAGGUGGGAUAGAUUUGGGGUAGGAGGGAUAUCAUGAGUCCUUUUGGGAAGCAUUGGGCCAGGAGCACACAGAGCACAGCCAUGCAGGCACAGCUCAGCACAAACCCUGAGCUGCAUCCCUGGGGCACUGGUUUCUUAACUUUGCAGUCUCAGGUCCUCCCUGUGUUCAGAGCAAAGUGAAUAUUUGUUAUUCUGUCACUAUUAUGCCCCUUCUGCGAAAAGGGCAUGUAGGCAGGUGAAAUACAAGAGGUUCGGAUACUGUGUGUGGCUCCUCUGUUUGACGAUCAUGUGUAGACUUCCGAAGUGGGGAAGUGGCUAUGUGCUGUGACAUGCAGGCCUCUCUGACUGUGAUACAUCUGAAAAUGCUCAGAGACGAACUACAUUCCACAAGGGUCGGUCAGGGUAAGACCAGGAAGGAAGGAAACAAAGUGUCUGUCACCCCUUCUGGGAGUGGCUGCUAACAGCAGAUCAAAGAGGCAAGUAUAUUUCAAGAAAAGCUGCAAAAUACCUUGAGUGCUCAGCACAAAAGGCAUAGUAUCAUUCACUGUUUUAAUUUGUUCUGUUUGUUUAAAGCAACUGACUUCUGUUUUUAAUCCUGUACACCUUUGUAUAGGCAACUCCACGUCAGUGGGAGGUACAGAAUUUGUCCAAAGCUUCAUAAUAGCAGCAUAACUUUGUGUAAGAAUAAGGAUUACAGCGGCAGCAAUGCACCCUCUGGUGGUGACCAUACAUAUUGUAUCGAGAAUCCUCUCCCAGUGUAGAGACAAGCAUGUAGUAGAGGGAGAGCCGGUAUUUUGCUUUCUUCAUCACUGAUUCCCAUAGACAGAAUGGUGCAACCACCGGCCCCACAUGAGCCUCAGUGACUACCGAGAGAAUAAGAUGCAGCUGGCUUAGAAGAAAGGCUGGAGAACAUAUUUGGAGUGUGGGCAAAUGGAAAUGGGGAAUCAUGCUAAUCAGAUUGUGUGGGUGGAGGAUGGCAAAGCACUUCUUAUUUGCUGGGACUACUCCUGCCAACAGGUGCCUGCCUUAGGCUGGAUACCUAGGAGCUCAUGCUGGUUUCUACAGACAAUCCUCAUUCCUCUUAAAACAUACCUUCAGUAUCAUUUGUUUCCCGUUGCAGGGAAACCCUAAAAUACAGCUUAAAUGGACAAGUUCUGGUUAGUUUUAAAGACUAGCUGUCCUGCACUGUGUUGGAUAUGGCCAGUGACCCCAGUGAGUGUCAGUGAAUGGCUAAAAGAAAUUGGGGAUUUUUUUUUUAAACUGUAAUUAAAUGGGAAACUGAUAACUGUCAGUCCAUGCUACAAUAGGAGCUUUGUAUGCAGGUUAAUAAAUAAAUAGAUAGAUAGAUAGAUAGAUUUUAAGUAAGAGGUAAAAUGAGAAAUAAAAUCUCAGUACAAAGUGAUGGGCUCAGUGAGAAUGACAGAAUGAACUGUAGCCCUUGUUUAUCAUAAAGAGAUAUCCUGGACAAUGAAUCUGAUGAUCCAUGUUCUUUAGGUUUGUGUUCUUCCCCAAGGAAAACAAGAACUGUGCUAGAUGGAUCAUUAGAGGAUCUUUCAAGUCUAAAAUGCAAUCUGAUAAAUGUUCAGUGUGAAUCAAACUAACUGCAGAAAAUCAUACUGCAAAUAAUGAUGCCCUCUAAGUAGUACACCAGACUGUUCAGUAGCUCUUUCAUGCCCUCUGCAGUUAAAACACCGCUUUGUAUCUGUGCACUGAAACUGUUUUUCCUUGUCUUGCACUGUACACUGUAAAUGCUAAACUGCAAAGCAGUAAUGACAGAAUCAUAGAAUUGCUCAGGUUGGAAAGGACCUUAAAGAUCAUAGAAUCCAAUACCAUUGGAAGUUUUUGGGGGUUGUCUGUAGGAUACGUUGUGGCUUUUAUUACUGACCCAACUAUCAAGCAGUGCUGUAAAGCAGAUGAGCCCAUGUGUUUACCGUGGUGCCACUCAUAGCAAUAGUUGAGAGCACAGAAUAAGCAGAGGAGCACUCAAGUGUGAGAGCUUUGCUGGCACACACUAUGUUUCACUGCAUGUAUGCAAACACAUACACGCAGAUUUAAGCUUUCAUACGUAUUUGCUGUAAGGUAGAAAUGUGUAGAUGUCCAUGUGAAAUACUCUAAAGCAACAAUGAGUUUCAUCA
ensembl:lncRNA